rnacentral:rRNA from 1 species
AUGAACGCUGGCGGCGUGCCUCAUACAUGCCAGUCGAGCGAACAGACGAGGAGCUUGCUCCUCUGACGUUAGCGGCGGACGGGUGAGUAACACGUGGAUAACCUACCUAUAAGACUGGGAUAACUUCGGGAAACCGGAGCUAAUACCGGAUAAUAUAUUGAACCGCAUGGUUCAAUAGUGAAAGACGGUUUUGCUGUCACUUACAGAUGGAUCCGCGCCGCAUUAGCUAGUUGGUAAGGUAACGGCUUACCAAGGCAACGAUGCGUAGCCGACCUGAGAGGGUGAUCGGCCACACUGGAACUGAGACACGGUCCAGACUCCUACGGGAGGCAGCAGUAGGGAAUCUUCCGCAAUGGGCGAAAGCCUGACGGAGCAACGCCGCGUGAGUGAUGAAGGUCUUCGGAUCGUAAAACUCUGUUAUUAGGGAAGAACAAAUGUGUAAGUAACUAUGCACGUCUUGACGGUACCUAAUCAGAAAGCCACGGCUAACUACGUG